rnacentral:rRNA from 1 species
AAACAUCGCCUCCUGCUACAUUAAUAUAUAUAGGAGGUCUUGCCUGCCCAGUGAAUAAUUAAACGGCCGCGGUAUUUUGACCGUGCGAAGGUAGCGCAAUCACUUGUCUUUUAAAUAAAGACCUGUAUGAAUGGUGAAACGAGGGCUUAACUGUCUCCCCCCUCAUGUCAAUGAAAUUGAUCUGCCCGUGCAGAAGCGGACAUACAAAUACAAGACGAGAAGACCCUUUGGAGCUUAAGAUAAAAAAUCACCUAUGUUAAAAUUUAACCAAACUAAACUUAAACCAAAUAGCACUUGAUUUAAAUCUUCGGUUGGGGCGACCACGGGAGAAAGCAAAGCUCCCACGAGGACUGGGGCUAAAACCCUAUAACCAAGAAAAACACUUCUAAGUACCAAAACAUUUGACCAUUAUGAUCCAGCCAAAUGCUGAUCAACGAACCAAGUUACCCAAGGGAUAACAGCGCAAUCCCCUUUAAGAGUCCAUAUCGACAAGGGGGUUUACGACCUCGAUGUUGGAUCAGGACAUCCUAAUGGUGCAGCCGCUAUUAAGGGUUCGUUUGUUCAACGAUUAAAGUCCUACGUGAU